ensembl:lncRNA
UGUUCUCUUUUGGUUAGUUUUUUUUUUUUUUGCUGCUUAGUAAUUUCUGAACUAUUUUCUGCAAAGUCUGUAUUCUUUGUCAUGUGUGCCACUCAAGUCUCUGUUCUGUCAUCUUAGUGAUUCAACAGAGAUUUUCUUAGCAUCCUGAAACCAAGUAACCAACCAACUAAUCAUCUGUGCAACAGAUAACCCAAAUCUCCCAUUCUUUGCAGGGCAGUGUUACAUAUGGGAGCUGCCUUUAAUGCUCAGCCAGGGAUUUCACAUGUCCUCCACUUUCUCCUUUGCAGAGCUGAAAGUCCAGAGGUUAGAGGCCAGAGUAACAUUCCAUUACACCCAUAUUCUGUAGUUUGUCCAUAUUCCUGCUGGCCAUUUCAGUGUUUUUCCAUUAUGAAUAAAGUUGCUAUGAAUAUUUGGAACCGGGGAUCGAACUUGGGACCUUGUGCUUGCAAGACAGGUGGCAGAACCACUGAGCUAAAUCCCUGGCCUGCUAUGAAUAUUUUUAUACAAGAUGCAGAUGUGUAUGAGUGUGUGAAACUAUAUUUUUAUUUCUCUUGGAGAAAUGCCCCAGGAAGAAAUUACUGAGUCAUAAGACAGAUGUAUACAUUUAAGAAUAUGCAAAACUGUUCUCCAAGAAUACUAUGCUAUUUUAAAUUUUCACUGAAUUGAGAAUUCCAGUUUCUCCAUAUCCACAAUGUUGUUAGAUGUUUGCUGCCUUUACUUAAAUUUAAUUUUUUACUGGUACACA